GCGCACCGCCCAUCUCGCGAGAGCAGGGGCGGGGGCGAACCCGGCGGGGCUCCGCCCCCAGGCCUGAGGCACCGCCCUUCCCUCAGGGAGCCGCGGGUCCCCUGCACAGCGAACCGCUCUAAGAGCCGCAGGGUGCUUGCAGCAGAGAACAGCAGUGCCACCGGAGCUGUCGCGGGCUGUGCGGUGCGCGCCCCUGAGUCAGGGGGCUCCGGGUGCCUUUGGGCUGCUGUCCCGAGUGUAAGUCUAGCACCACAAGAUCAGAAGGGCAUUGCCUAAAAACUUCUAAAAUCUCCAGAUUGGGUAGCUGUGUUGUUCAAAAGCCAUCUGCAUUGCAUCUGAACAAAGUGGUGCCAUCAAGCUGAUUGUACGGACUUGAACACUUCAGCAAUUCAUUUCCAAAUGGAGGGCGCAACUGGCUCAGCAGUUCAGCUCCAAAUGGAGAGCACAACUGGCUCACACUGGCGAAAUUCCACACAAAGUCCCGACAUUCCUACAGUCCUCUUGGGCUCUGCUGGGCUCCAGCUGCAGUCAAUGAUUGAUACAAAGUCUGGGGCUGGGAGCAGAGUACAUAGGAACGUGGGACUUGUGAAAUUCAGAGUUUUGAACCUUUUGAACCUGUGAGUGCCGUAAAGGCAGACUGAGCAUCCAGAAUGCCUUACCCAG